GACGAACGCUGGCGGCGUGCUUAACACAUGCAAGUCGAACGGAAAGGCCCUGCUUUUGUGGGGUGCUCGAGUGGCGAACGGGUGAGUAACACGUGGGUAACCUGCCCUUGACUUUGGGAUAACUUCAGGAAACUGGGGCUAAUACCGGAUAGGAGCUCCUGCUGCAUGGUGGGGGUUGGAAAGUUUCGGCGGUUGGGGAUGGACUCGCGGCUUAUCAGCUUGUUGGUGGGGUAGUGGCUUACCAAGGCUUUGACGGGUAGCCGGCCUGAGAGGGUGACCGGCCACAUUGGGACUGAGAUACGGCCCAGACUCCUACGGGAGGCAGCAGUGGGGAAUAUUGCACAAUGGGCGGAAGCCUGGUGCAGCAACGCCGCGUGCGGGAUGACGGCCUUCGGGUUGUAAACCGCUUUCGCCUGUGACGAAGCGUGAGUGACGGUAAUGGGUAAAGAAGCACCGGCUAACUACGUG
rnacentral:rRNA from 1 species